CCUACGGGUGGCAGCAGUGAGGAAUAUUGGUCAAUGGGCGCGAGCCUGAACCAGCCAAGUCGCGUGAGGGAAGACGGCCCUACGGGUUGUAAACCUCUUUUGCCGGGGAGCAAAGGGCGGCACGUGUGGCGCCACGGAGAGUACCCGGAGAAAAAGAAGCGGCUAACUCCGUGCAAGCAGCCGCGGUAAUACGGAGGAUGCGAGCGUUAUCCGGAUUUAUGGGGUUGAAAGGGUGCGUAGGCGGAGCGUUAAGUCAGGGGUCAAAUUUAGGGGCUCAACCCCUUCCCGCCAUUGAAACUGGCGCUCUUGAGUGGACGAGAAGUAUGCGGAAUGCGUGGUGUAGCGG
rnacentral:rRNA from 1 species